rnacentral:rRNA from 1 species
AUUGAACGCUGGCGGCAGGCCUAACACAUGCAAGUCGAGCGAGCGGCGGACGGGUGAGUAAUGUAUGGGGACUGCCCGAUAGAGGGGGAUAACUACUGGAAACGGUAGCUAAUACCGCAUACUAUCGGAUAACCCAUAUGGGAUUAGCUAGUAGGUGAGGUAAUGGCUCACCUAGGCGACGAUCCCUAGCUGGUCUGAGAGGAUGAUCAGCCACACUGGGACUAGGACACGGCCCAGACUCCUACGGAGGCAGCGUGGGGGAAUAUUGGAAAUUGGGCGAAAGCCGGAUGCAGCCAUGCCGCGUGUAUGAAGAAGGCCCUAGGGUUGUAAAGUACUUUCAGUCGGGAGGCGUUACCGACAGAAGAAGCACCGGCUAACUCCGUGCCAGCAGCCGCGGUAAUUC